rnacentral:tRNA from 1 species
GCCACGGUGGUCUAGCGGUUAGAACGCUGGCCUUGUAAUCCUGGAAGUCUCGGGUUCGAUUCCCGGCGGUGCCC